rnacentral:misc_RNA from 1 species
CACCUUCAAGUGGCUACUCUUUUGUUACUAAGAGUGUAGUCCUUGGUUCUGGAGGCUUUGGGUUACUAUAUAUUACCCUCCUCUGUAAUAUAGUCAUGUUUGAUAGAUUGCUAUGAUGAAGCGACAUUUGUAAUUUCAUCUUAACAUCUUAGAACUAUGCUUUAUUAUAACUUCUAG